AAGAAUUUAGUUUAAUUAAAACAUCUAUUUGUCAAAUAGAAAAAAUAAAGUUAUAUUUCUUA
rnacentral:tRNA from 1 species